AAUCCGCGUAGCUAUUAAAAUCAUUUGAUAUCAAACUGUGUCCUACAAAACGUGAAGCUUGGUAGGUUUUUCGUACAGUCAUGUCUUCGGUGUCUCUGAUAUUUGGUAUCUGCUUUGCUUCAGCUGUUGUGGGGAAAAUGAAUGACUGCUCAUUGGCUGGAGGAACCUUCAGGCGUGUCUGCUCAUUGGAAAAUACCCGAGCCAG
rnacentral:lncRNA from 1 species